rnacentral:rRNA from 1 species
GAUGAACGCUGGCGGCGUGCUUAAUACAUGCAAGUCGAGCGAACAGACGAGGCGCUUGCUCCUCUGUCGUUAGCGGCGGACGGGUGAGUCACACGUGGAUAACCUACCUAUAUGACUGGGAUCACCACGGGAAACCGGCGCUAAUACCGGAUAAUAUACUGAACCGCAUGGUUCAAUAGUGAAUGACGGCUUUGCUGUCACUUAUAGAUGGAUCCGCGCCGCAUUAGCUAGUUGGUACGGUAACGGCUUACCAAGGCGACGAUGCGUAGCCGACCUGAGAGGGGGGUCGGCCACACGGGAACGGAGACGCCGACCAGAGGCCUACGGGAGGGCGCAGUAGGGAAUCUUCCGCAAUAGGCGAAAGCCUGGCGGAACAGGGCCGAGUGAGUGAUGAAGGUCUUCGGAUCGUAAAGCUCUGUUAUUGGGGAAGAACAGAUGUGUAAGGAACUAUGCACGUCUUGACGGUACCUAAUCAGAAAGCCACGGCUAACUACGUG